rnacentral:tRNA from 1 species
UACGGACUUGAAAAAUCCGUCGACUUUAGAAAUCGUGAGGGUUCAAGUCCCUCUAUCCCCA